ACCAGUCUGCUCACAGCCCGGACUGAGCCUCCAUCCCCCAGCCCCCGCUGCUGCCUCGCACUCAAACCGGCGGGGAGAACCGCGGAAAGCCGCGGAGAAAAAGAGCCAGGUCAAACUCUCCUCGAGCCGGCGGAUGAACACCAGCAGACGGACUCUGCUCCUGCUGACUGAAAGGCUGGGAAACACUUCAUUCUAUGGCUCCCUGAUUCGAAGAUGUUUCCCCGGAAAGACGAUGAACAUUUGACAUCGGCCACAGGAAAAAUGGAGGUUUUUCCUUGACAGUUACUUCAUCUAAACCCAAGACAGGACGACGGACCUCAUGUUUCAGUCUGCUGAUGUUGGUGAGCGCGAGGCUCUUGGGCCGUAUGAACCGGCCACAGAUGACUCUUCUGUCGGUGACCGUGGACUGAGGCGGGCUGCAGCAGGUCGUCAUGUUUAGGAGCAUCUUCUCCCCGGAGC